UCCGGUUGAUCCUGCCAGAGGCUACUGCUAUCGGGGUUCGAUUAAGCCAUGCGAGUUAAAUGUUCUUCGUGAACAUAGCGAACUGCUCAGUAACACGUGGAUAACCUACCCUUAGGACCGGAAUAACCCCGGGAAACUGGGGAUAAUACCGGAUAAGCCAUAGAUGCUGGAAUGCCCUAUGGUUCAAAGCUCCGGCGCCUAAGGAUGGAUCUGCGGUCUAUCAGGUUGUAGUGGGUGUAACGUACCUACUAGCCGACGACGGAUACGGGUUGUGAGAGCAAGAGCCCGGAGAUGGAUUCUGAGACACGAAUCCAGGCCCUACGGGGUGCAGCAGGCGCGAACACUUUACAAUGCGGGAAACCGCGAUAAGGGAACCCCGAGUGCCAGCAUCAAAUGUUGGCUGUCCAGAUGAUUAAAAAUCAUUUGUUAGCAAGGGCCGGGCAAGACCGGUGCCAGCCGCCGCGGUAACACCGGCGGCCCGAGUGGUAGCCGUUUUUAUUGGGUCUAAAGGGUCCGUAGCCGGCUUGAUAAGUCCUUUGGGAAAUCUGGCAGCUUAACUGUCAGGCUUCUAAGGGAUACUGUCAGGCUUGGGACCGGAAGAGGUAAGGGGUACUCCAGGGGUAGGAGUGAAAUCUUGUAAUCCCUGGGGGACCAUCUGUGGCGAAGGCGCCUUACCAGAACGGGUCCGACGGUGAGGGACGAAAGCUAGGGGAGCAAACCGGAUUAGAUACCCGGGUAGUCCUAGCUGUAAACGAUGCUCGCUAGGUGUCAGACACGGUGCGACCGUGUUUGGUGCCGCAGGGAAGCCGUUAAGCGAGCCACCUGGGAAGUACGGUCGCAAGGCUGAAACUUAAAGGAAUUGGCGGGGGAGCAC
rnacentral:rRNA from 1 species